rnacentral:rRNA from 1 species
CUGAUGGAGGGGGAUAACUACUGGAAACGGUAGCUAAUACCGCAUAACGUCGCAAGACCAAAGAGGGGGACCUUCGGGCCUCUUGCCAUCGGAUGUGCCCAGAUGGGAUUAGCUAGUAGGUGGGGUAACGGCUCACCUAGGCGACGAUCCCUAGCUGGUCUGAGAGGAUGACCAGCCACACUGGAACUGAGACACGGUCCAGACUCCUACGGGAGGCAGCAGUGGGGAAUAUUGCACAAUGGGCGCAAGCCUGAUGCAGCCAUGCCGCGUGUAUGAAGAAGGCCUUCGGGUUGUAAAGUACUUUCAGCGGGGAGGAAGGGAGUAAAGUUAAUACCUUUGCUCAUUGACGUUACCCGCAGAAGAAGCACCGGCUAACUCCGUGCCAGCAGCCGCGGUAAUACGGAGGGUGCAAGCGUUAAUCGGAAUUACUGGGCGUAAAGCGCACGCAGGCGGUUUGUUAAGUCAGAUGUGAAAUCCCCGGGCUCAACCUGGGAACUGCAUCUGAUACUGGCAAGCUUGAGUCUCGUAGAGGGGGGUAGAAUUCCAGGUGUAGCGGUGAAAUGCGUAGAGAUCUGGAGGAAUACCGGUGGCGAAGGCGGCCCCCUGGACGAAGACUGACGCUCAGGUGCGAAAGCGUGGGGAGCAAACAGGAUUACAUACCCUGGUAGUCCACGCCGUAAACGAUGUCGACUUGGAGGUUGUGCCCUUGAGGCGUGGCUUCCGGAGCUAACGCGUUAAGUCGACCGCCUGGGGAGUACGGCCGCAAGGUUAAAACUCAAAUGAAUUGACGGGGGCCCGCACAAGCGGUGGAGCAUGUGGUUUAAUUCAAUGCAACGCGAAGAACCUUACCUGGUCUUGACAUCCACGGAAGUUUU